UACGGAGGGUGCGAGCGUUAAUCGGAAUUACUGGGCGUAAAGCGCGCGUAGGCGGUUACGUAAGUCGGAUGUGAAAGCCCCGGGCUUAACCUGGGAAUUGCAUUCGAUACUGCGUGGCUAGAGUCUGGUAGAGGCUAGUGGAAUUCCAGGUGUAGCGGUGAAAUGCGUAGAUAUCUGGAGGAACAUCAGUGGCGAAGGCGACUGGCUGGACCAAGACUGACGCUGAGGUGCGAAAGCGUGGGGAGCAAACAGG
rnacentral:rRNA from 1 species